GCCCCCAUCGUCUAGCGGCCCAGGACGCCACCCUCUCAAGGUGGAAACGGGGGUUCGAGUCCCCCUGGGGGCACCA
rnacentral:tRNA from 1 species